rnacentral:rRNA from 1 species
GACGAACGCUGGCGGCGUGCUUAACACAUGCAAGUCGAACGGUAAGGCCCUAUCGGGGGUACACGAGUGGCGAACGGGUGAGUAACACGUGGGUGAUCUGCCCUGCACUUUGGGAUAAGCCUGGGAAACUGGGUCUAAUACCGGAUAGGACUACGCGAUGCAUGUCGUGUGGUGGAAAGCUUUUGCGGUGUGGGAUGGGCCCGCGGCCUAUCAGCUUGUUGGUGGGGUGAUGGCCUACCAAGGCGACGACGGGUAGCCGGCCUGAGAGGGUGUCCGGCCACACUGGGACUGAGAUACGGCCCAGACUCCUACGGGAGGCAGCAGUGGGGAAUAUUGCACAAUGGGCGCAAGCCUGAUGCAGCGACGCCGCGUGGGGGAUGACGGCCUUCGGGUUGUAAACCCCUUUCAGCACAGACGAAGCGUAAGUGACGGUAUGUGCAGAAGAAGCACCGGCCAACUACGUG